AUAUAAGAAAUACUUAAGUUAAUAAAAAAAAAAAAGGUUGGUGCCUCUUAAGACAUAAUGCUUCUCAGGCUGUUGUAGAUGAUUAAGUGACUUAAUAUGGAGGCCUUCAGUUUAUGCAGAACAGACGAUUGUGUAUCCAUAAUCGUCUAUAUACAGGUAGUCAAGGAUGUUAAAGCUGAGUGGUAGAGACAUUCCAGAAUGUUCCUUUAAGAAGCAUGCCAUGUUGGUAAGUGGAGUCUAGUUGGCAUUGAGCAAUGAGGAGAGAAACUACCUUACCUGCCACAUAGGACAGGGCUAUAUUUUCUGAGCCAACUCUCUUAAGAAACACUUUUUCAUAGUGGAUAUGUUGGUCCACAUCUGUGAUCCCAGCACUCAGUCUGAGGUAAGAGGAUUUCCAUCAGUUGGAGGGAAGCUUGUAAUGUCUCAAAACAACAGCAGAUCACAACUAUGUUUGGGAUUUUGUUUGUGGGUUUGAGAUUGUAAUAUGUUAUAUUUUUCUCCCUCCAAGCCUCUUCCUAUGUUACAUACCCAGCCAUCCAGUUUCAAAUUCAUGGCCUCUUUUGUUGCUGUUUGUAUGUGUCCUAAAUAUAUAAAUACAACUUGCCCAGCCUAUACAAUACUGCUUUCUGUGUACAUGAUUUCAGGACUGACCACUUGGCAUUAAAUAACCAAUUGGUGUUCUGUUCUUGAGGAAGACUAUUUCUCCUGCUCUCUGUAUUCCUUAGUGGUCUGUAGUUCUUUGUCUAAGGGUAAGGAAACCAGUUCACUUUAUACAGGAUCCUUCUACAAAAUCCUUUAAAAAACCAAUAAACCCUUAAUUCACCUUUGUUUAACAUAUAUCCGUAGAAAAAGGUAAUUUUUGUAGAUAUGACCACAGAAGAAAGCAUACCUUACCCAUGGCUCAUACCUUUUCAUUAUCUUUAAUCAUUAGGUCAUUAAACAGGAAGUUUAUGCUUUUGUACUUUGUCAAAG
rnacentral:sRNA from 1 species